rnacentral:circRNA from 1 species
CUAUAAUGGAUUUCCAGUUCUUAGGAACAAUUUAUUUGAAAGACCUGAAGGAUUUCUACAAGCAAAGAAGAACAAAUUGCCUUCAAAAUCAAGUAGUCCUAAUAGCCCUUUGCCCAUGUUCAGAAGAACAAAACAGGAAAUUAAAUCAGCCCAUAAAAUUGCAAAGAGGUACUCUUCCAUCCCUCAGAUGUGGUCUAGGUGUCUACUGCGCCACUGUUAUGGACUGUGGUUUAUUUGUCUCCCAGCUUAUGUGAAAGUCUGUCAUUCAAAAGUCAGGGCUCUGAAAACAGCAUAUGAUGUGCUUAAAAAAAUGCAGUCAAAGAAGAUGGAUCCACCUGAUGAG